rnacentral:rRNA from 1 species
AACGAACGCUGGCGGCAUGCCUAACACAUGCCAGUCGAACGAGACCUUCGGGUCUAGUGGCGCACGGGUGCGUAACGCGUGGGAACCUGCCCUUAGGUUCGGAAUAACUCCCCGAAAGGGGUGCUAAUACCGGUUAAUGUCUUCUGACCAAAGAUUUAUCGCCUUUGGAUGGGCCCGCGUUGGAUUAGCUAGUUGGUAGGGUAAAAGCCUACCAAGGCGAGGAUCCAUAGCUGGUCUGAGAGGAUGAUAAGCCACACUGGGACUGAGACACGGCCCAGAAUACUACGGGAGGGAGCAGUGGGGAAUAGUGGAAAAUGGGCGAAAGCAUGAUCAAGCAAUGACGCGUGAGUGAUGAAGGCAUUAGGGUUGUAAAGCUAUUUUACCCGGGAUGAUAAUGACAGUACCGGGAGAAUAAGCACCGGCUAACUCCGUG